GACGAACGCUGUCGGCGUGCUUAAUACAUGCAAGUAGGACGCAGUUGCGAACGGGUGAGUAACGCGUAGGUAACUACCUAUUAGAGGGGGAUAACUAUUGGAAACGAUAGCUAAUACCGCAUACUAGUAGAUGGACCUGCGUUGUAUUAGCUAGUAGGUAGGGGAAUGGCCUACCUAGUCAACGAUACAUAGCCUACCUUAGAGGGUGUUCGGCCCAACGGGGACUGGGACACGGCCCAGACUCCUACGGUAGGCAGCAGUAGGGAAGCUUCGGCAAUUGGGGGAACCCUGACCGAGGAACUCCGCGUGAGUGAGGAAGGUUUUAGGAUCGUAAAGCUCUGUAGUUAAGGAAGCGGUACUUAACCAGAAUGGGACAGCUAACUCCGUGCCAGCAGCCUCGGUAAUAC
rnacentral:rRNA from 1 species